CAUCAAUGUUCCAUUUUCGUAGGAACGGUGUGUGGUUCAUGAGAUUGGCUCAUCGGUUGAUUACCGGAAACUGACUUCGGCUGAGCAAGGAUUCUAUUUCAUCGGUAAAGAUCUUUCGACCCUUUUGAAACAGAAGUUCCAACAACUGAUUGGA